UUGAAUUAGGUUCCCUCCAAAUAAUAACCUAGCAGUAGCAAAAUAUGACAGAGCUGUCUCUCUUCCCCAAAUAAGCAAAACCCUUAAACCCUUGCUCCUCCCCCUCUGGACCAACAUUAACAUACAUGUUAGCUAUUUCAAGGAUGAAGGCCCUCAUCUUAACCCACUGCAUCUCCAAGACCACACCUUUAUCUCUCUUUUCUUCAGCCUCUAAAUCCAUUCGAUCCUACCCGCCAACCCAAUUCAGAACCCCAAAUCUUGUCCGCCUAAAACCCAAUACUUUUGUGCCCUAUGCCUCUCUUUCUUCCGAAAUAGCUCCCAGCGGAGCUGUUGAAAUGGAUGCGGCUUCUCGCCGGCAACGUUCCGGUGAGAUUCACGUCAUCGUUGGCCCAAUGUUUGCCGGAAAGACCACCACGCUUCUUCGCAGAAUUCAAUCCGAGAAAGGCGAUGGCAGCUUUCAGGUCAGGCCCCAAAAGCAUAUCCAACUUGAUAAAACAUUGAAGGGACUCUGUUAUUCAGGAAGAUUGGCAGAAGCUGUUGGGCUAUUGUGUCGUACAGGAGUAAAGGCAGACCCAGAUACGUAUGCUCUUCUAUUGCAAGAAUGCAUUAUUUGGAAAGAGUAUAUGAAAGGAAAAAGAAUUCAUGCCCAAAUGAUAGUUGUAGGAUUUGUUGAAAAUGAAUAUCUGAAGACCAAAUUGUUGAUCUUGUAUGCAAAAUCAGGGGAUUUAGGAACUGCUCACUAUUUUUUUGAUAAGUUGCUUGAGAAAAGCUUGGUUUCAUGGAAUGCAAUAAUUGCAGGGUACGUUCAAAAUGGGCAUGAAGAUGUGGGGUUGAAUCUUUAUCACAAGAUGAGACAGAGUGGUUUUACACCAGACCAAUAUACCUUUGCUUCAGUCUUCAGGGCAUGUGCCACUCUGGCAACUCUGGAGGAUGGGAAGCAAACCCACGGUGUCAUGGUCAAAUGCCACAUUAUAGAGAAUGUUGUAGUCAAUAGUGCCCUCAUGGAUAUGUACUUUAAAUGUAGUGAUUUAUCUGAUGGGCAUAGGGUAUUUGAUACAUCUCCAAAUAGGAAUGCCAUUACCUGGACUGCUCUGAUAUCUGGGUACGGUCAACAUGGAAGAGUUCAAGAGGUCUUAGAUUUCUUCCAUAGGAUGAAAGCUGAAGGUAUCAGGCCAAACUAUGUUACUUUUAUUGCAGUUCUUUCUGCAUGUAGUCAUGGAGGUUUGGCUAACGAGGCUUGGGAGUAUUUUUCUUCCAUGACAAGAGAUUAUGGAAUUCAGCCAAGAGGACAGCAUUAUGCAGCCUUGGUUGACCUUUUAGGACGUGCUGGGAGGUUAGAAGAAGCCUAUGAAUUUGUUAUGAACUCUCCUUGUAAGGAGCACUCGGUGAUGUGGGGUGCUUUUCUUUGGGCUUGUAGAAUUCAUGGAAGCAGAGAAUUGUUGAACCUUGCAGCAAAGCAGUACUUUAAACUGGAGCCAGAGAAUGCUGGAAAGUAUGUUGUCUUGUCUAAUGCUUAUGCCACCUUUGGGUUGUGGGACAAUGUUGCUAAGCUUAGGGCUAAGAUGAGUGAUUCAGGGAUGAUAAAGGAGCCUGCCUACAGCAAACUAGAGGUUCAAAGGGUGACCCACUUCUUUCUUAAGGGUGAUAAGUAUCACAAACAAUCCAAGGAAAUUUACGAGAUGGUUGAAUUGAUUGACUACUCUCUAAAGGAUUCAGGCUAUGUUCCUUAUUUUAGUUUGAGCUAAAUAGCUAAUUCAUAUGAGAUAGAGCUAAUUCCCUAGAACCUCUCUCAUUUUGCUUUUCCUAUAAUGAACUUGACAUAUUAGAGCUUCGUACUUUGGUGUUGUCUGAAGACCAAUUAAACAUGCUGUGAUGUUUUACUCACAGAGGCUCACCUAACUUGCGGUAUUUUUGUGAUGGGAGUUGCAUUCUUUCUUAAGGUGACAACUUAGAGAAGGUAUUAUGUUAGAGAAAGAACAUUGUAUUUUGGUUCAUAUGGCAGUGAACAGUGAAGCUUGCUAGCUGUCUGGUUCUUAGUUCUUAGUUAGCAGAAGAAAACGUUGGAAACCUGAUUGGUAGCACUCAGAAUGUAUAUGUCAAGUGUUUAGUAACUAGCUUCCUUUAUCUUGAGCUGGAUGACUAGAUGCUUGAACGUGAUAACUUAUAAGUGGUGAAGUAAGAAGUAUGGGGAAUUAUUAAAUUUCUCUAAGGUUGAUCUUUGCAAUCUUGGGACCAUGCAAAAUUCCUGGUGGGAUUCUAAUGAUGUUGCUAUACAGCACAUAGAGUAAUGUUGCAGUAAUAAAAUCAAACAAGGAUACAAGAUAUGGAUUGGAUUCGAUUGUAACACAUGAUGGGGUUAAAUUGCCUUGCUGGGCAUUACCAAAUCUAUCAUCGUUCAAACAAAAGUUUGGUCUUGAUGCAUA